rnacentral:lncRNA from 1 species
ACCCACCUGAUGGCUUCUCAGCCAGCAGUCUCAGAGGAACAUAGACGACUGCUGAGAAAGGAGGGAGGCAGCAGUGGUCCCAGCACCUGAGGCAUCCUGCUGUCAUGGGAAGGUCUCCGCCCAAAUGUCAGAUGCAUCAGCCUGUCACCCGCUGGUCCAGAGCUUUCAGCUGUACUGGUAGGGGGUGGGUGGUGGAGUGCUUCGGGCAUGGUGAUGUGCACCUGUAGUCCCAGCUGCUCGGGAGGCUGAGGCAGGAGAAUCGCUUGAACCCGGGAGACAGAGGUUGCAACGAGCCAAGAUCGAGCCACUGCGCUCCGGCCUGGGUGACAGGAGACUCCAUCUCAAAAAAUAAAAUU